AUGAUAACUAAAAAACUCUUAACUACUUUUAUUAUUUUUUUUGUUUUGUUGUUUAAAACAAGAUCCCAAUACAAUUACCCUCAAAAUGAAAUUUUACAAAUUCAUUCACAGAAUAUUCAAGCUGUGUUAGGGUUAAAUGAGUUCUUAUUAAUUAAAUUUUAUGCACCACAAUGUGAACACUGUAAGCGCAUAUGGAACAAAAUAAUGCAUUUAAAAUAUGAAAUACAAAAUGAUAAUAAAAAGAAAGUAUAUUUUGGUGAAGUAAGUUUAAAAUAAAUAUAACUAAGCAAUAUGAAAGAGUUGUAUAAUUCAACUGUUUAAAAAAAAAAAAAAAAAAAAAAAAAAAAAAACAUACAUAAUACAUAUAUACAUACAUACAUACAUAUAUACAUACAUAUAUACAUACAUACAUACUACAUACAUAUAUACACACACCUAUAAAUAUAUAUAAAUAUAGACGUAUAGAACUAUAUAUAAAAACAGUUACUAUUAGCUAUAUCUACACGUACGUAUAUAUGUGACAUCUUUAUAUAUUAGGUAAAUUGUGCUGAUACAAAUGGACGAAGUAUUUGUGAAGAAUACUCGGUUGUAAAAAUACCACAAUUAAAAAUGUAAGUUAAUAAUUAUGACAAAAUGACACACACAUGUAUAUAAUAUAUAUAUAUAUAUAUAUAUAAUUCAUUACCUACGUACAUAUAAACAAAACACAUUCAUCACAUUUUACUUUUACAGGUUUAAAGGAAACAAAUUAUUAGGAACGUAUUCAAAUGAUAUAAUGAAUGAAAGUCUUAUAAAAAAAUGGAUAUAUUAUGUUACAAUGUAAAUUAGGAAAGAAAAAGAAAAAUUAUUUUAGUUAUUUUUAAUAUUUUUUACAUUACAUAAAAAUAAUUUUUAUGUAAUUAUUUUUUCUGUCCAUAAAAUAGUUUACUAUCGUUUUUUUCUAAAAUUAUACAGUCCUAUAUUUCAUGGAGUGCAUUCAGAAGAAGAAUUAAAUGAAUUUAAAACUGGAGAUAAUUUUUUUCUCACUUGUCUAGAACACCCAAAUGUUAUACAAAAAAAAAAAAAAAAAAAAAUUAAAUAAAAUAAAAUAGAUAAUAAUAAUAAUAAACA
rnacentral:lncRNA from 1 species